GCCGAUUCUCCUUCGUCUUCUGCUGCAAACGCUGCCCAGUGCCGGCGUUAGGGUGGAUUGGGAAUCUCCGAUUGUCUUCUUCCUUGAUUUCUAUUCUGAAGAGAUUUCGAUGUUUUUUUGCUUCUCUUUACCUUCGAUUUGUUUUUCGGACGAUUUUCUUUGCUGAAGAACACGGGGGAUUAUUAUUAUUGCCCUUUCCCGCUCCUUCUUUUGUUCUGUUCGGAGGGUGAAGAAUUUGUUCUUACCAACGAACCUACGGUUUCAAUGUCGGCGGCAAUCUCCAUAUACCGGCCGGAGCUUUUGGGAUCUGUUCAAGAGGGAUACCGAAAUCAUCGCAAAUUUCAUAGAACCUUCGCCAUCGCCUCGUGGAAUAUGACAAUGGAUUCUAAAUCGCAUCAAACGAUGAAGAAGGAAGAAGUCUCUAUUCAGAUUUCAACGCCGCUAUUGCUGCCGCAGUGGAAACCGUCAGCGGCAAACGAG
rnacentral:misc_RNA from 1 species